CCUACGGGUGGCAGCAGUGAGGAAUAUUGGUCAAUGGACGAGAGUCUGAACCAGCCAAGUAGCGUGAAGGAUGACUGCCCUAUGGGUUGUAAACUUCUUUUAUAUGGGAAUAAAAUGUUCCACGUGUGGGAUUUUGUAUGUACCAUAUGAAUAAGGAUCGGCUAACUCCGUGCCAGCAGCCGCGGUAAUACGGAGGAUCCGAGCGUUAUCCGGAUUUAUUGGGUUUAAAGGGAGCGUAGGUGGAUUGUUAAGUCAGUUGUGAAAGUUUGCGGCUCAACCGUAAAAUUGCAGUUGAAACUGGUAGUCUAGAGUACAGUAGAGGUAGGCGGAAUUCGUGGUGUAGCGGUGAAAUGCUUAGAUAUCACGAAGAACUCCGAUUGCGAAGGCAGCUCACUGGACUGCAACUGACACUGAGGCUCGAAAGUGUGGGGAUCAAACAGGAUUAGAUACCCUGGUAGUC
rnacentral:rRNA from 1 species